rnacentral:rRNA from 1 species
UACGUAGGGUGCGAGCGUUAAUCGGAAUUACUGGGCGUAAAGCGUGCGCAGGCGGUCUGUUAAGACCGAUGUGAAAUCCCCGGGCUUAACCUGGGAACUGCAUUGGUGACUGGCAGGCUUUGAGUGUGGCAGGAGGGAGGUAGAAUUCCACGUGUAGCAGUGAAAUGCGUAGAGAUGUGGAGGAACACCGAUGGCGAAGGCAGCCCCCUGGGUCAAGAUUGACGCUCAUGCACGAAAGCGUGGGGAGCAAACAGG